UGGGUUGUCAUUGUGGCCACAGCGCUGCACAGGGCGGGGCUGCUGGCCCGGGGACCAGGCUCAGGGUUGGUCAGGGUUACCCCAGGAAACAGGCUCCCCUGGGCACAGAUGGAGGCGAUUAGCGGGAUAGCCCGCGGGACGCUGGGAGCCUCCCCGGAAACCUGUCCUCAGGAAAGGAAGAGCCUGGAGCAUAGUGGUUGCUUCAUCAACAUCAACUGAAAGAAAAACUUAGAGAAUAACCAAUGAAUAAACGAAUGAGUGAAGCUACAGGGAGGUGAAGAAAGAAUAAUGAGGUCCUGCUGGAGAGAGGGAGAUGACAUUGAACAUGGUGUCUCAGGGACAUAGAUGCGCAUCAGAGAAGCCUGUACUGCUAGGAGAAAUGAAGGAAGCCUGGAGGGAAGAGAGCAGUGUUCGCAAUAGAAAGCCACAGCCUGCCCGUUCUGGAGCUGAGCUCGCCGUCCCUGCUCUGCAGAUGAGGAGGACGCCCAGCCUGAGCCCCACUGACUCACAGCCGUGGCCCUCCCCGGAUUGUCCUUCCUCGAGUCAGGGCAGCCAGCAGGAAGAGGAGUCACCGGCUCGCAGCAGUGACUGACCCUGGUCGUCAUCCCUGGGCUGGGCUGCGGUCACCCAUGAGGAAGGACAGAAACCCAUCUGGGACCCUGAAGAGUGCCCCUCUGUGUCCCUGCCCAGCGCAGGGAUGGGUGCAUAAGCGCUGUAACCCCAACCUGAGAAGGGCACGGUCAGCCUCUCCGGGGUCACCGCACCCGGAGAGCGUCCGUGGCCAGCUCGGUGCGGCUGGGGCCAGGAGCCGAGAUCCGCGGUCACAGUGAGAGGGUGAGCACCUGGCCGCCCCCAGAGCUGACCAGCAGUGCCGAGGCCUGCGGUGUGUCCCCCCGCCUCUGCCUUCUGUGGGUCGCAUGGAAGACAGGCCAGGAGUGAACCUGAAUGGGCGGGUAACACAGAGCGGACUACAGAGGACAGGGGCUCACCAGGGCCACUCAUUCCUGGGCUGCCCGCCCCACCGGCUGAGGCUCUGUGGGGCCUGCGCGGUAGGUGAGCCUGUCCCUCUGGGAAAUCCCACUUCCCUCCCUUUGAGUCUCAAGGAACAUCUUGCACCCCCGAUUCUGACUCAGCGUCUGCUUCUGCAGAGCCCCGCCUGGGACUUGCUGGGAGGGGUGCGGUCCCCAGGCAGCUCCUGGGGAGGAGAAGCCAGCAGAUGCUCAGCUGAGAGGCUGAACUUUUAAUAAAUAUUUGUUUAUUUAGUUUUGUAGCACUAGGGAUUGAACCCUGGCCUUCCUCAUUGAGCUGCACAGUCAGCCUCUUUUUUUUUUUGCACCGGGAGUCAAACUCAGGACCUUGCGCUUGCCAGGCAGGUGCU